rnacentral:rRNA from 1 species
GAUGAACGCUGGCGGCGUGCCUAAUACAUGCAAGUCGAGCGAACAGAUGAGGAGCUUGCUCCUCUGACGUUAGCGGCGGACGGGUGAGUAACACGUGGAUAACCUACCUAUAAGACUGGGAUAACUUCGGGAAACCGGAGCUAAUACCGGAUAAUAUAUUGAACCGCAUGGUUCAAUAGUGAAAGACGGUUUUGCUGUCACUUAUAGAUGGAUCCGCGCCGCAUUAGCUAGUUGGUAAGGUAACGGCUUACCAAGGCAACGAUGCGUAGCCGACCUGAGAGGGUGAUCGGCCACACUGGAACUGAGACACGGUCCAGACUCCUACGGCAGGCAGCAGUAGGGAAUCUUCCGCAAUGGGCGAAAGCCUGACGGAGCAACGCCGCGUGAGUGAUGAAGGUCUUCGGAUCGUAAAACUCUGUUAUUAGGGAAGAACAAAUGUGUAAGUAACUAUGCACGUCUUGACGGUACCUAAUCAGAAAGCCACGGCUAACUACGUG